CCAUCUCGUUGAUUUGGCGCUCCGCCCCGCCUCCAGCCCGAGGAGUCAAUAGUGAGGCUCUGAGGAUCAGAGGGCCGGGGCCAGGAGUUCUUCGAAGCCGGAGGGUGCGGAGCCCCAUCCGCAGAAGUGACAUCGCUCUUUCAAAUGAACUUAGAAGAAAAAUAUCAAGAGCAGCAACUGCGCCUGGAACCCUUGGAGCCAGGGACAGUUCUUUGGGCACUUCACACUUGCAAACUUCAAUCAAUGGGAGCCUAGGGCCUGAGCAUGGACUGUGAAUUAUUAGGGUCAGGAGAGGUACUUGCGCGUCCUAAGAGAGUAGCACAAGGGUGACCAGGGACAGGCCAAUUCUUGGAAAGAAGCUACACUGACUUUGGUUGGAGGUCUUAUGCUCCCUUGGCCUCUAGGCAAGGAAGGUGGCCCUCAUAUCUCCACAAAUCUAGGGGGCCCAGUUCCUGUUUCCAUUUAUAAAAACAACUGUUGGGUGUGGUCCCCCACCUUGUUAGUGGGCUGCCUGCUCAGUAAUUCUCCUCCCCUCAGUUUCAGGCUAGAUGGGUCACAGUGUUCAUUCAAUACAGUUGAUAUUGAGCAGGAAGAUGACAAGUACGCACGUACAAACUAUUCUUUUGUGUCAAACUCAUUUUAAACAAGAAGGAAGGUAAGGUGUUUUCUAGGGAAACUUACCUACUUUGGCAAAAGGAUAGCUGUUUCUGGUCAUAAUCAUCACAGACAGAUAUUGGUGGUUUAGAAGAAGCAUGUCCUGCCCCUAAAUCAAGCACUUCAUGUCCCUCAGUUAUUCCCUUGCAUUUUUGUUCAGCUGUUGAAAGGAUAACUGUGUGGAAUUCCUCAAAAUAAUCUCUUGUCUGUUUUUCAGGAGUCUCUGUUUCCUGGUCCCUUAUUUUCCAGGCUCCUGAUAUCUGAAAAGUUUCCAUGCUUGUCUACCUCUUCUCAUCUUGCUCUAUACAAGGAUCUCACUGAGUUGCUGAGGCUGGCUUUGAACUUGUGAUCUUCCUGCCUCAGCCUCCUGAGUCCCUGGGAUUAUAGGUGUGCAUCACUGCCUGGUGCAGCAUGGGCUUUAAAGGUCUCACCGCUCUCAAACUCUACAGCCACAUCUUGACCCUGGUGAGAGUUGCAACUUCUCCCUACAACCCUCUCCUCAACCUCAACUAGCAGUCAGCUCCACCCCAGAAGCCUGCCUUGGUUCCUGAUCUGAUCACCAUGGUCUGAGUGAGUGUGCAUCUGCUGGACUUAAAAGUCUAAGGCUUGAGACUUUUGAUCUGACACCCCCACCCCCCGCGCCUGCCAGGUAGGCGGAACUGUGACCACCGACAGAAAAAGCCCAGUGGCCCGCGGAGGGGCAGAGCUGCCAACCACUCCUGCAAGGUAGUCGGGCCUGCGACCCACUGGCAGAACAGGCGCAGCGGCCUGCUGAGAGGCAGAGCCGCCCCCUCCCCCCGCGCCUCCAAGGUAGACGGAACUGUGACCACCAACAGAACAGGCCAGACCUGCAACCGACAGACAGAACAGGCCAGACCUGCAACCGACAGACAGAACAGGCCCAGUGGCCUGAGGAAGGGUAGAGCCACCCCCCCCCAUGCCUGCAAGGUAGGCGGACCUGCGACCCACAGGCAGAACAGCCCCAGAGGCCUGCAGAGGGGCAGUGCCGCUGCCUGCGCCUGCAAAGUAGGUAGAACUGCGACCACCGACAGAACAAGCCUAGCGGCCCGCAGAGGGACAGAGCUGCCGCCCGCGCCUGCAAGGUAGGCGGACCUGCUACCGACCGGCAGAGCAGGCCCAGCGGCCUGCCGGUGUGGUAGGCACAUUGCCCCAAUUGGAGGAGGGGCAGAGCCGCUGCCCGCGCCUGCAAGGGAGACUUUGCAACUAUACAAGACCAAUAUAAAUAUAUAGGGGGAAAAUUCAAUAGCACAACAGUUUCACCAAGUAGAAAGGAACGCGAACAGUAUGAAGAGACAAGGAAAGAAAGGACCACAAGCAAUGCAGGUCAACUCAACGUUAGAAGAGGUAAUAGCUGCAGCAGAUGGAAUGUCAGAUAAAGAAUUCAGGAUAUACCAUGGACCACUCGAUAGACCCGAUUUUUAAAGGGGGACUCGAAACUGCUUGCCCCACAUCGUCCCUUUUCAGCCUGAAGAAGCCAGAAAGAUCUUCUUCGCCCCCCUUCCUUACAGCAGUAAGGAGUUCCCAACUUAUAGGGGGGAAUGAAGCCAGAUUUAAAAUUAGGUAGUCAGUGUAGUUAGAUAAAUCGGGUCUAAUAUCGAGUGAAAUCUAAAAUGGAGACCAUGCAGAGAAUGACUCAGGGAAAACACAGGACAACUCAUGGAAUGUUAAUGAAGUCCUGAAAAGGCCCUAGGCCAAAGUCCACCUCAAAGAAAUGUUAAUGAACAGCCCCCAGCAAAAAGGUGCUGACUCAGAAGUCCUUCCUGACCAGAUUACUUCUUUGGCCCACCUGUGUCCCACCCCUCGGGCCUUCCAACCUACAUUCCAUCACCAAAACUAUAAAAAGGGGAAACAAUCGCACUUCCACGGAUUCCACCUCUUGGGUCCCCUUCUUCCUCUGGGAGAAGUCUUUUCUGCUGUCCUUUAAUAAACUUCUAAUUUCUACUCUGAAAAAAAAAGUAUUCAGGAUAUACAUGCUUUAGAUGAUCUGGAGUCUCAAGGAAGACAUCAGACAGCAAAAUCAGACAAUGAAAGAUCACUUCAACAAUGAAUUACAUAAACAAAUCCAAGAAGCAAAAGAUCAACUAUACAGGGAGAUAGAGGUUAUAAAAAACAAACAAACAGAAAUCCUAGAAAUGCAGGAAGCAAUAAACCAACUUAAAAACUCAAUUGAGAAUACUACCAGCAGAGUAGAACACUUAGAAGAUAGAACAUCAGAUAAUGAAGAUAAAGUAUUUCAACUUGAAAAGAACAUAGACAGCUCAGCAAGACUAUUAAGAAACCAUGAGGAGCUAUAGGAUGAUCAACCCCCACAUUGGGCUCUGGAGUUAUGGGGAGUUCCACGUAGUGGGGCUUUGGGGGAAAAGCUGUAGGAUUUUCAACCCCCACAUUGGGCUCUGGAGUUAUGGGGAAUUCCACUUCCACAGGUUUAAAUGCGAAGCUGGAUACUGUUGGAUAAUGAACUUGAUUCUCAGUUAGGACCUGUGGCUGAGUUGAAGUUUCUUGUGUUGGAAUUAUUCCUUCUUGAUACUUUGGAAGCAAAGUUGAGGUUUUCUGCAUGGUUGGAAAAACAAAUAUGGGGACCGUUGGAAGAGAUAUAGAGAACGUUCCAAUAGCUAUAGGGAACGGUGAAAGAGCUACAGGCUUCUUCUUCGCUCUAGAACGUUUAGCGGGUUUUGGAGUUGAGGUGAGUUCCAGGUCCAAAGGUUGAAAUGUAACACUGGGUGAUGUUAAAUCCUGAGCUUGAUUCUGACUUAGGACCUGAGUUGAAGUUUCCAUCUGAGUUGUGGUUGCUUGCUGAGCUGAAGAGAAUCCAAAGUUUUCAGGGAAUCCUGGAGACUGGGAAGGGGCAUUCGACUGGGUUGGAUAAACUGUAACUUGCUGGGUGGAAACUGGCUCAACUUCUUUAGUGGCUUCUGAAGGUACAGUAACUAUCAGAGCCACAUGUUGAACUGUGGUUUUAGGCAAAUUUGAAGACCCACUUCUGAACAUUACUUCUAGAUCUUGAAAGAGGUGAAAAUGACAUGGAAUCACUGAAUGAAGGAAGCAAUAGUCAGGACAAAUGUGGAUUCUGGAGGUUUAGUUGGGAGUGUUUCCUGGACUGGUGGAAGUUCAACACUCACGGGGGGUGUUGAGGGCAGAGAUGAGCUCUCCUGCUGACUUGAUAAAGAUUCCUCAGGCACCUCUUCAAGCUGACUGGGGACCUCUUGAUCAAUUGGAGGUUGUUCCUCCUCUAGAGGGGGGCUUGGCUGAGGUUCCAACUGCUCAGGGGACACUGAGGACUCAUCUAGGGUCUCCUGUUGUGCUGAAGUUUCAACCUCAUUAUUCAAUUCUGGAGUAGGAGACUCAGCUUGAUCAGAACCUAGAGAAGAACCUGUCACAUCCUCACCUUCUGGAGAUUGACCUACAUCGUUAGGGAGCUCUGGAGGCACAGUUGGGGCUUCAGGCUGGGAUGCAGAAGGUCCUAAGUCAUUAGUUGGAAUUGGUCAAAGAAGUUCCCACCUCUGUAGUGGGUUCAGGUGUUAUAGUCAUUAGUACAUCUGCAGGUUUACCAGUCACACUGGGCAAGUCUAGAGAUUGCACCGGUACUUCCAGCUGGCUUUCAGAAGACUGGUCCUCCCCAGGAGACUCAGAAGGCUGAGUUGGGGUCUCUUGCUCACUGAGAGAAGGUUCAGUCUCCACAGGAGGGCCCGGAGGCUGAGCUGGGGUCUCUUGCUGGGUUGGAGAAGGUUCUACCUCCUCCGCAUACUCUGGAGGCUGAACUGGGGCCUCCUGAACUGGAGCCUCUGGCUGAACUGGGGCCUCCUGAACUGGAGCCUCCUGAACUGGGGCUUCCUGAACUGGGGCCUCCUGAACUGGGGCCUCUGGCUGAACUGGGGCCUCUGGCUGAACUGGGGCCUCCUGAACAGAGGCCUCUGGCUGAAUUGGGGCCUCCUGCUGGGCUAGAGAAGAUUCGGCCUCCUUGGUAGGUUCUGAAGUUAUGGUAAUUUCCACGUCUGCAGGCCUACCUGUAACACUGGGCAAGUUAUAAUAAUGAACUUGAUCCUGACCAGCUAAAGAGGGUUCAGAGAGCUCUGAAGUCUGAGCUGGAGGUAAAAUCUAUUAAAGUCUUUCAGAAAUUGGUCCCUGUCAACUUGACAGUAUAGAAUGGGCCAAUGGUCUACAUGGGGACAUUUUGGAAAUUUGAGUUUUUGUCUUUCUCAAUUAAAAAGACAUGCUACUGGAAUUUG